rnacentral:rRNA from 1 species
AUUUUCUGCCACCGAAUACAUUAGCAUGGGAUAAUGGAAUAGGACCCUGUCCUCCUAUUUUCAGUUGGUUUUGGCAGCGCGAGGACUAGGGUAAUGAUUAAUAGGGAUAGUUGGGGGCAUUAAUAUUUAAUUGUCAGAGGUGAAAUUCUUGGAUUUAUGAAAGAUUAACUUCUGCGAAAGCAUCUGCCAAGGAUGUUUUCAUUAAUCAAGAACGAAAGUUAGGGGAUCGAAGACGAUCAGAUACCGUCGUAGUCUUAACCAUAAACGAUGCCGACCAGCGAUUAGGAGACGUUGAAUACAAAACACCACCAUCGGCGCGGUCGUCCUUGGCGUGUCUCGGCUUCACGGCCGGGGCGCGCGAGGGCGGUUUAGCCCGGUGGCACCGGUGAAUGACUCCCCUAGCA